AGUGAACGCUGGCGGUAGGCCUAACACAUGCAAGUCGAACGGCAGCACAGUAAGAGCUUGCUCUUACGGGUGGCGAGUGGCGGACGGGUGAGGAAUACAUCGGAAUCUACUUUUUCGUGGGGGAUAACGUAGGGAAACUUACGCUAAUACCGCAUACGACCUACGGGUGAAAGCAGGGGAUCUUCGGACCUUGCGCGAUUGAAUUAGCCGAUUUCGGAUUAGCUAGUUGGCGGGGUAAAGGCCCACCAAGGCAACGAUCCGUAGCUGGUCUGAGAGGAUGAUCCGCCCAACUUGAACGGAGGAACGGUUCAGACUCCUACGGGAGGCAGCAGUGGGGGAUAUUUGACAAUGGGGGCAAGCCUGGUCCAGCCAUACCGCGUGGGUGAAGAAGGCCUUCGGGUUGUAAAGCCCUUUUGUUGGGAAAGAAAAGCAGCAGGUUAAUACCCCGCUGUUCUGACGGUACCCAAAGAAUAAGCACCGGCUAACUUCGUG
rnacentral:rRNA from 1 species